GAAGUAAAAGUCGUAACAAGGUUUCCGUAGGUGAACCUGCGGAAGGAUCAUUACAAUUCAGUAGCUUGCUACUGUCGGGAGGCGCUGUAAGUCCGCAUAGUUUAAUUACUGAUGAGCGGCAGGCCCUCUGUCUGUACCCUUGUCUUUUGCGCACUCAUGUUUCCUCGGCGGGCUUGCCCGCCGAUUGGACAAAACUAUAACCUUUUUUAAUUUUCAAUCAGCGUCUGAAAAAAACUUAAUAAUUACAACUUUCAACAACGGAUCUCUUGGUUCUGGCAUCGAUGAAGAACGCAGCGAAAUGCGAUAAGUAGUGUGAAUUGCAGAAUUCAGUGAAUCAUCGAAUCUUUGAACGCACAUUGCGCCCCUUGGUAUUCCAUGGGGCAUGCCUGUUCGAGCGUCAUUUGUACCCUCAAGCUCUGCUUGGUGUUGGGUGUUUGUCCUCUCCUUUGCGUUUGGACUCGCCUUAAAGCAAUUGGCAGCCAGUGUUUUGGUAUUGAAGCGCAGCACAUUUUGCGAUUCUAGCCGAUAAUACUUGCGUCCAUAAGCCUUUUUUAACUUUUGACCUCGGAUCAGGUAGGGAUACCCGCUGAACUUAAGCAUA
rnacentral:rRNA from 1 species